UCCGUAGGCGGGCAAUUAAGUCAGAGGUGAAAUCCCACAGCUCAACUGUGGAACUGCCUUUGAUACUGGUUGUCUUGAGUCAUAGUGAAGUAGAUAGAAUAUGUAGUGUAGCGGUGAAAUGCAUAGAUAUUACAUAGAAUACCGAUUGCGAAGGCAGUCUACUAACUGUAUACUGACGCUAAUGGACGAAAGCGUGGGGAGCGAACAGGAUUAGAUACCCUGGUAGUCC
rnacentral:rRNA from 1 species